AUUGAACGCUGGCGGCAUGCCUUACACAUGCAAGUCGAACGGCAGCACGGGUGCUUGCACCUGGUGGCGAGUGGCGAACGGGUGAGUAAUACAUCGGAACAUGUCCUGUAGUGGGGGAUAGCCCGGCGAAAGCCGGAUUAAUACCGCAUACGAUCUACGGAUGAAAGCGGGGGACCUUCGGGCCUCGCGCUAUAGGGUUG
rnacentral:rRNA from 1 species